rnacentral:rRNA from 1 species
GUCGAGCGAAGCGGUUUCGAUGAAGUUUUCGGAUGGAUUUGAAAUCGACUUAGCGGCGGACGGGUGAGUAACGCGUGGGUAACCUGCCUUACACUGGGGGAUAACAGUUAGAAAUGACUGCUAAUACCGCAUAAGCGCACAGGGCCGCAUGGUCUGGUGUGAAAAACUCCGGUGGUGUAAGAUGGACCCGCGUCUGAUUAGGUAGUUGGUGGGGUAACGGCCCACCAAGCCGACGAUCAGUAGCCGACCUGAGAGGGUGACCGGCCACAUUGGGACUGAGACACGGCCCAAACUCCUACGGGAGGCAGCAGUGGGGAAUAUUGGACAAUGGGCGAAAGCCUGAUCCAGCGACGCCGCGUGAGUGAAGAAGUAUUUCGGUAUGUAAAGCUCUAUCAGCAGGGAAGAAAAUGACGGUACCUGACUAAGAAGCCCCGGCUAACUACGUGCCAGCAGCCGCGGUAAUACGUAGGGGGCAAGCGUUAUCCGGAUUUACUGGGUGUAA